rnacentral:rRNA from 1 species
CCCUUAGAUGUUCUGGGCCGCACACGCGCUACACUGAAGGAGGCAGCGUGUACUCUUGGAUCGAAAGAUUUGGGUAACCCGCGAAUCUCCUUCGUGCUAGGGAUUGAGGUUUGCAAUUAUCCUUCAUGAACGAGGAAUUCCCAGUAAGUGCAAGUCAUAAGCUUGCGCUGACUACGUCCCUGCCCUUUGUACACACCGCCCGUCGCUACUACCGAUUGAAUGAUUUAGUGAGGACUUCGGACUGGGACCGAUGCGGCUUUCGGGCUGCGUCGGUAUUCUGGAAAGAUGUCCAAACUGUAUCAUUUAGAGGAAGUAAAAGUCGUAACA